CCUCAACACAUCAACACAUCAGCCACCCCACCCCCAGCUCCCUCUAAGCCAAAAUAUGAUCUCAAGUAUGGCAGCGAGUGCUUGAUCCCUGCAGGAAGAGCGAGUUGGUGAAAAUCCUGCCUGGCUGGAUCAAGGUUAAGAGAUGAGGAAAUCCAAGCUCAGAAUGGAUAAUUCACCUAAGGAAAUACAGAUGGAAAAUGGCAGAGCUGCAAUCUAAACCCAGGUCCAUCUGAUAAUAAAGCCCAGGCUCUCCUCAACCAACUUCAGAUCUGGGAUGCUUCCAGUGAGACUCCGUGCUCCCUCCCUGUGUGGUUCCCAUGGCCUUUCUUUACCUCAAGAAAAUGCAGAGUGAAAAGCAAUGGUAGCAGAAGUUUCUAGAAGUUACUUAUAUGGCAAGUGCAAGUAUUUCAGAACACAUUUGAGAUUCAGGAAGGAGGCAAAAAGGCUUCUGCUGAGCAGUCAAAAUGACGAAGUUUGUAAACUUCACUUUAUUUGGGUCCCUGCUGAAAGUCUACCUACUCUUUAAAAACAAUAACAACAACAAAAAAUGGGAACACACUAUUAACGCUGUUCUGCACAUGUAUUUUUCAAUUAACAAUUGGUGAGUAUUCCCUUUUAGCGCACAUAGAUCUACCUCAUUCAUUUAAGGGCUCUGUAGUGCUGCAUUGUGUGAAUGCACCAAAUGUGUAUUUAUCCUGCAUUCUCUAGGUGGACAUUUUAGACACUUACAAGGGUUGGGGCUCAGAAAGUGAUAUCCCAAAGGCUGAUGUUUUGACAUGCUGAGGGCCCUCAGAAGCCGCCCCCGAACCAAGGUCCCUCUAACUUCUUGUUCCCCAUACCUGCCCCACCACCAAACACAGGGAGGGACUGUCUGUCUUUGGAAAUUUCCUCAUCUGACCAAGAAAGCAUCUUUCCAAAAGAAAUGCAAUUGUCUUAAACACCCUCCCUAGAGGUCUCAUCAAAUAACCAAGAAAGAUAAACCACCAGAAGAGAUGAGACUGGGAAUCAUCACCACACCCAGACAGACUUCAUCUAUUCUUCUGAGAGCAGCUCCAAGAGAUUGCCUGGAGGACUUUAUCUGCUUAAUAAGACAAGCUUUGUUCCUGUACAGCUCCGCCCCUCACCUUCCUGUAAUAUCUGCCUCCCACCUCCCCAGUCCAUACAUCUCCUCCCUCCUGUAUGAAAAAGGGUAUACAAGCUUCUGUGCCCCAUUGGGUUAUUGGGAAAUCAUUCUCCUGUGAUUCCCCUGUGCCAUGCACACUAAAAUAAAAUUUUGUAUG
rnacentral:lncRNA from 10 species